GGUUGACCUCGGAUCAGGUAGGAAUACCCGCUGAACU
rnacentral:rRNA from 4 species